UACGGGGGGAGCAAGCGUUGUUCGGAUUUACUGGGCGUAAAGGGCGCGUAGGCGGCCAGCGCAAGUCAGUUGUGAAAUCUCCGGGCUUAACUCGGAACGGUCAACUGAUACUGCGCGGCUAGAGUGCAGAAGGGGCAACUGGAAUUCUCGGUGUAGCGGUGAAAUGCGUAGAUAUCGGGAGGAACACCAGUGGCGAAGGCGGAUCUCUGGGCCUUACCUGACGCUGAGGCGCGAAAGCUAGGGGAGCGAACAGG
rnacentral:rRNA from 1 species